UGACAUUGAUAUGACAUGAAUUUAUUUUUUAAAAGUCUGCCAGCCACCAUCUUGCAGAUGUACCUCAGCACAGGUAGUCUCCAAUGAAGACUGACAUCAACAAAGUCCGUAGGCUGUAAAGGUUCAAUUUACGGUCAUUCAAAGUUAACUUAAUAUCUAUUCAUGUGCACAAUUUCAUAAAAAGGUAUAUGGUAUGGGACAUUGGAAGAAUUGUACAAUUUCAAUAGCAUUAUAAUGAAAAUGUAUUUCACAAUAUAAUUUCAAGUACAUGUGAUGGUGAAUGCAAAGAUUUACACCAAGUGUGAGAACGAACAGGUUCGUUAAACAAAAAUCAAUUCUGACAUUUCACUAUCAAUCAUGUUACUAGUAUGCAAAAUCACAUUUCACCAUCAAUCAUGUUACUAGUAUGCAAAAUCACAUUUCACCAUGGAAUUAAAUUGACAUCAAAAGUAUUUUUGUUGCUGCAUUUUAGAUAACCCUUUCCCUUUUCCUAACCUUAACCUGCUCCUCUUAACCUGCUAUGUUAAUUAUCCUGACCUUAACCUACUCCUCUUAACCUGCUACGUUAAUUCUCCUAACCUUAACCUACUCCUCUUAACCUGCUAUGUAAAUUCUCCUAACCUUAACCUACUCCUCUUAACCUGCUAUGCUAAUUCUCCUAACCUUAACCUACUCCUCUUAACCUGCUACGUUAAUUCUCCUAACCUGCUACGAAAAAUACAUUUUUGACAAAAGUUGCUAUGUUACCAUACCCGGUCCACUAGGUGGUUGCUAUGUUACUAUACCCGGUCUGCUAGGUGGUUGAUAUGGUACCAUACCCGGUCUGCUAGGUGGUUGCUACAUUCACAGUAUUAGGCAAGACUGCAUUCUCUUCCUGGGCACCAGAGGCAAAGAAUAAUCUACAAUCCAUGCUUCAUCUAGAUAUGUUAGUGGCACUGAAUGGAUUUAAAAUAUUGAUGGGAGACUCUUACAGAGAGUAAAUGCUUUUUUUUUAUGUUGUUCAAACAUUCAUAGAUGACCUGCAGGGUCAGAUAAUAAUAACACAGUGGUUGUCGAGGGUGCAACAGGUCAGCACCUCAGGAGUAAAUGUCAGUUGGCUUUUCAAAGCCGAUCUUUCAGAGUUAGAGACAGCAGGUGCGGUAGAUAGAGAGUCGAAACAGAAGGUCUGGGACAGGUAGCACGUCCGGUGAACAAGUCAGGGUUCCAUAGCCACAGGCAGAACAGUUGAAACUGGAGCAGCAGCACAGCCAGGUGGACUGGGGACAGCAAGGAGUCAUCAGGCCAGGUAGUCCUGAGGCAUGGUCCUAGGGCUCAGGUCCUCCGAGAGAGAGAAAGAAAAAAAAAAUACAGAGAAUUAGAGGGAGCAUACUUAAAUUCACACAGGACACCGGAUAAGACAGGAGAAAUACUCCAGAUAUACUGCAGCAUAAAUACUGGAGGCUGAGACAGGAGGGGUCAGGAUCAAAUCAAAUCAAAUUUUAUUUGUCACAUAGACAUGGUUAGCAGAUGUUAAUGCGAGUGUAGCGAAAUGCUUGUGCUUCUAGUUCCGACAAUGCAGUAAUAACCAACAAGUAAUCUAACUAACAAUUUCAAAACUACUGUCUUAUACACAGUGUAAGGGGAUAAAGAAUAUGUACAUAAGGAUAUAUGAAUGAGUGAUGGUACAGAGCAGCAUAGGCAAGAUACAGUAGAUGGUAUCGAGUACAGUAUAUACAUAUGAGAUGAGUAUGUAAACAACGUGGCAUAGUUAAAGUGGCUAGUGAUACAUGUAUUACAUAAGGAUGCAGUCGAUGAUAUAGAGUACAGUAUAUAUACGUAUGCAUAUGAGAUGAAUAAUGUAGGGUAAGUAACAUUAUAUAAGGAAGCAUUGUUUAAAGUGGCUAGUGAUAUAUUUACAUCAUUUCCCAUCAAUUCCCAUUAUUAAAGUGGCUGGAGUUGAGUCAGUGUCAGUGUGUUGGCAGCAGCCACUCAAUGUUAGUGGUGGCUGUUUAACAGCCUGAUGGCCUUGAGAUAGAAGCUGUUUUUCAGUCUCUCGGUCCCAGCUUUGAUGCACCUGUACUGACCUCGCCUUCUGGAUGAUAGCGGGGUGAACAGGCAGUGG
ensembl:lncRNA